GUGGAAGCAAGAUCAUUUUGGAAUACUAGAAGAAUUAAAGAGGUAAGAGCCUUCAGGGAUAACUUAAAGAGAAGAUAAGGAAGGAUCUCAAUCUGAAGAAACUUACUGCACAGCCUUCUCAGAUGCCAUGCAGUGUAUCGGAAAGUUCCAAGGUAGAAUCCACAAAGCCAGCUAUGAGCCAAUGCCUGACAGGACAUCAGUGCUAAAUUGCCAAACAAUACCAUCACCAACAAAACCCAGCAACUAUGCAUCUGAACAAAAUAAAACAAAUCACAUGGCCAGAAUGACCUUGGUGAAUGGUAACAAUAGCUUACAUCUUAUGGGCUCUCACUGUGUGUCAAGACUGUGCUAAGGGGACU